rnacentral:rRNA from 1 species
AAUAGAUACCCUGGUAGUCCACGCCCUAAACGAUGCAUACUUGGUGUGGGUAGUUCAUUCUAUCCGUGCCGGAGCUAACGCGUUAAGUAUGCCGCCUGGGGAGUACGGUCGCAAGGCUGAAACUACGAAAGGAAGUUGACGGGGGCCCGCACAAGCGGUGGAGCAUGUGGUUUAAUUCGACGCAACGCGAAGAACCUUACCUGGGCUCGAACGGCUUUGGACGGCUUUUGGAAACAGAGGCUUUCCCGCAAGGGACUGAAGUCGAGGUGCUGCAUGGCUGUCGUCAGCUCGUGUCGUGAGAUGUUGGGUUAAGUCCCGCAACGAGCGCAACCCUGUCCUGUGUUGCAACUAAUAGGCACUCUCAGGAGACCGCCAGCGAUAAGCUGGAGGAAGGUGGGGAUGACGUCAAGUCAUCAUGGCCUUUAUGUCCAGGGCUACACACGUGCUACAAUGGGCGGUACAGACCGCUGCAAACCUGCGAGGGGGAGCAAAUACGGAAAAAACCGUUACUCAGUUCGGAUUGCAGG